rnacentral:lncRNA from 10 species
AGGUGAUCCACCUGCCUCAGCCUCCCAAAGUGUUGGGAUUAUAGAUGUGAGCCACCGCGCCUGGCCCAUAAUCCUAAAAUACUUAAAAUGACUAUAGUGUAAACGGUUAGAGCUUAAUUUUGAGAAGAAAGGUUUAAUUUCUUUGGAUGUUAACAGGUGCUAUAAAUUAAUUAACUGGUCUGUGUUCCUGAUUAAUUUAUCAAAGCAACUCUAAGUCAGUUUUAUAUGAAUAACUACCUCUUUAGUGAUUUAAACCUCUAACCAGAUUGCAAUUUAAUAUACAAUCCAUUUCAGAAAUAGUCCACAUUUUACUUCACCCAUACAAUGAGGCUCAUCUCAUCAUAUAUAUAAUUCUUUCCUAGUUCUAUAUUAUUUGAUGCAAAGAAAUCUUCAUUUUGGAAGAUAAUUCAGAAUAAUCCUGUAAGAGGUAGAGUAGGUAAAAUUGUCUCCAUAUGAUAGAGGAAGAAGCCUAUCUAAGAUCACAGAGUGGGUAUGGAUAGAUGAGAGAAGUCAGUUUCCUCUUGCCUGAUCCUCUCAAGGAAACAAAGAGUCAGGAAAGAAAAAUUGUGAGGUGGCACAAAAACCAAAAUGUGCACAUUGUUGAAAUGGAAGAAACUGGAAAAAAGUAACCAUAAAUUAAAGAGACCUGCACUGCAUUCACUAGUAGGAGAUUAUUGAGAUUUAAGCACAAGUGUGUGUGUAAGUGGGGACUGCUUAUAUUGUAGGUCCCAUUCAUGUAGGAGCAAAAAAUAAGAUAAUAUAACCAAUAUUUAGGGGAUAGAAACAGAAAAGCAACUACUAUAGGCCAAUGCAUACACUUGAAUAAUCUCGAGUAUCAUAUAAUGCCAAGACAUAAGAGAGAAUAACUGAGUUACUGACAUGGCUGAGGCAGAGGAAGAGAAGUUGAUAAUGGUUCAUAUGAUUUAUAAAUAAUAUUUAUUAAAUGUUAUAUGUUUGUAUUUCCAGAUCAUUUUUUCAGAAUAUUAAAAAUAUUUGAUUCACUGAGUUUGCCUUUCCCUAUACACCUGUUGAGAAUAAGUUUGCUGCCUUGACACUGGGAGCCAUAAGCCCAGCAGCACCACUGGGGACAGGCUGCAGGUGCCAAAAGAACAUAGCACACAGAGGUUUAUGGAGUCCCCAAAAUCUUUUGCAAGCCUGGGAACUCUUUCUAAUUAUCAAACAGCCAUCCCACUCUUGGGUCUUACUAAUUCUCAGAGAGUUGUCAAGAAACAACGACCUGUUCCCUGCUGCCCAGGACGCACAGACCCCUUUAUUCUCUCCUGGAAAAGCCAUUCUCUCUUCUAUUUAUACCAAAAAACCUCCUUCCACCUCUCCCACUUCCAUAAACCCUAUUAUUCCUGAAAGAAAUUAGAUUUUUCAAAACAAGCCAGAAGACUCUACAGGCAAACACAGCUUUCUGUAUUCCCAGGCAUCAUCACUUACAUGUUGAAGCACAGAGACACCACCUGCUUGAAAACAGGUGAAGGAAGAAGAAACACACGGAGGACUAAAACAUAAAUUAAGAUAACAAAGUGAUAGAAAACUAUAUAAUGUAUAUAUAAAUGUAUCUAUACACCUGUAUAAUACCUAUUACAUAGGUUCUCUCUUUUUUGAAUAAUUACUUCAAUAAAAGAAGAGUUAAUCUAAUUUUUUCAUGAUUCAAUUUUUAAAAAAUUGUCCAAUUCUAUUUUUUCUUUUUUCUCAUAAUUUAGUUAUGCUUAUACAUUUAUCUGUACCAUUUUCAUGAUUUCCUUAGAUUUAUUUCUUUCUUCUAAUUACUUGAAUUUCGUGCUUACUUACUUGAUCUUUUUUAUUUAUUACUAAUGAAAAUGAUAUUAAAUGAUAUAUUUUAAUAUCAUUAUCAUCAUUAUUAUUGUAACCUGGUCCCUAGACCAAGGAAGCAUAUGACAGAUGGGCUUUCUUAUCAAAAAGAAAGAGUAAGCAUUCUGUUCUUGCUAGUGUGUUUUAUGUAUGUUUCCUUCAACUGGCUUCCAAGGCUGCCAUCCUUUUCAUUUUUGUCAUAGGGCUAUCACACGGUAGCAGCCUCAUUUGUCACUCUCAUCCCUCUCAGAGCAUAGUCAUAUACAACAGCAUCUCUCUGGUCCACCCUGGGAGGUUCAGGUUGCUGGACCUUCUGUUCGGAAGAAUUGACAAAUUGUUUCUGUCAUUUGUCACAAGAAUCUUGUACCUGAAAUCAGAAAAUCUAGUCUUUGGAAGGGAUGCUAUGAGCCCCAGACUAUGUUUUUGUUUGUUGCUGAGCUGGCUGUAAGAUCCUGAGUGACUGCUAUGACGGACUGGAGUCUGAAUGCUGUUUCCAGGACUAAAGGAGAGCCAUGGCAUAGAGGUACUGCAGAACCUCAGUGAACAUUCAUCCCCAGGAGAGGAGCACAACGGGGGCCUGCCUUCCCAUUCCCACUAGAAUGGAAGCCAUACUGGGAUACUGGGAUUUGUUUUCAAUGAGGUCUGUGAUCCCAGAGGACACAUGCCCUAAAGUCUGGCACUGACUAGAGAAAAGCAAAAGGUCAACUGCUAUGGGAAGAGGCAUUGUGAUGAGACAAGGAAGAAAAAAUUUGAAUAUAGAAAUCUCCUUCUAGAGGUUGCUGGAUCCUCUAAAGAGGAGAAAAGAGUCAUGGUGUUAACUGGAUGAGGAUGUUGAAGAGAGAUUAAAUGUCUCCCAAGAGAGUGAAUGGAGGAGGAUCUGGGUUAGGAAGUCUGAGGUAUGUGAGAAGUUUUAGAAAAUGGCAGUGAGAUGUGAUUACAGAGAAGAAUACUUUCCUGGAAACAUUGUGGGCCUAGUUAAUUUUGAAGGAUGUGACUUGAUGGGGGAUGUGAUGCUACAUGCCUUCUGUGGAGGUGACGAGACUGGAGAGUAACAAAAGCAAAGAUGGCAAACUUUGAAAAGUGACCCUUUGUUUUAAAUACAAGAAGGACAGAAGAUGAGCAAGGUUGUGGACAGUAUGACCCUUAGACUCAGGCAAGAGCCCUGCCCAGAGCCUCAUAUUUUACAGGGCCACUCAAUCACACAGACACACACACACACGCAAAUGUACUGAAGAACACGGACUGUCUCUGUCACUCAGGACCGGGCACAAUCUGUAACCUAAAAAACCACUAACACAAUUUUUCAGAUUUGAGAAAAAUACUUCUUCACAUACCUUGACCUUUGUCCUUUUCAAAUAUUAGAAAUAUUUGUGGGUUGUGCCACUGCUGCCAUAGGAGGCAGACUCUGUUUAUACGAAAAUAAUUUGUUUAUGCUUUUCCCCCAGACUCCAUCAAUAAUAAUAAUUAUCUGUAGAUGGAUUUGGAGGUAAAGGGGAUGAAAAAUGAGAACACCUAUAUUUUCACUGAAGUAGAAAUUAAAGUUCUGCAGGCACAACAUUGGAUUAACUGCUCAAGAACGUUCCAAAUAGUUACUAUUGGCACUGUGAGGAAUGGUGUAGAAAAAUAAGUAAAUAUGAUCUUAUAGUAGCUCAGGUUUUAGGUUUUGGAAGAACCUCCAUACUGUUCUUCAUAGUGGCUAUACUAAUUUACACUCCUACCAACAGUGUACAAGGGUUCCCUUUUGUCCAUGUCCUUGCCAGCAUUAACACUUUUUGUUUUUAUAUUUUUUGGUUCCAUACUUCUUAAUUGACUUCAUAUGACUCUGAUUUGGAAUUGGGGCCAAGGGUGGAGGGGUUUCAAGGAAGGGAAGGAAAAAAUUAAUUAGCUAGCCCCAUCUUUCCUCUCAGCACGGAGGCAAUAGAUUCUUACAAAAAGAAAUACUGUUUCCCGAGGGUGCUGAGGAUCUAUUUUCUUGCAUCUCUUAUGUACUCAUUUGUGGUUCUUCAGGGUACUCAUGAAUCAGCAUAGUAUUCACUAUAGUUGCUCAUGAUGGCUGGAACACUUUGUAAUAUUCAACAACAUUAGUUUUAAAUUGCAUAUAUUUUAUCCUAGAUUGAAUCUGCAUAAAGAGUGACACUGAUUAGCUUCUUUAUAUACUAGAUGAAUGUUGAAACUAGCAUUUAUUUUAAAUACUGUG